rnacentral:rRNA from 1 species
AAUAGAUACCCAGGUAGUCCACGCCGUAAACGGUGGGCACUAGGUGUGGGCGACAUUCCACGUCGUCCGUGCCGCAGCUAACGCAUUAAGUGCCCCGCCUGGGGAGUACGGCCGCAAGGCUAAAACUCAAAGGAAUUGACGGGAGCCCGCACAAGCGGCGGAGCAUGUGGCUUAAUUCGACGCAACGCGAAGAACCUUACCAAGGCUUGACAUACACCGGAAACGUCCAGAGAUGGGCGCCCCCUUGUGGUCGGUGUACAGGUGGUGCAUGGCUGUCGUCAGCUCGUGUCGUGAGAUGUUGGGUUAAGUCCCGCAACGAGCGCAACCCUUGUCCCGUGUUGCCAGCAGGCCCUUGUGGUGCUGGGGACUCACGGGAGACCGCCGGGGUCAACUCGGAGGAAGGUGGGGACGACGUCAAGUCAUCAUGCCCCUUAUGUCUUGGGCUGCACACGUGCUACAAUGGCCGGUACAAUGAGCUGCGAUACCGCGAGGUGGAGCGAAUCUCAAAAAGCCGGUCUCAGUUCGGAUUGGGGU